UAGGGAAUCUUCCGCAAUGGACGCAAGUCUGACGGAGCAACGCCGCGUGAGUGAAGAAGGAUUUCGGUUCGUAAAACUCUGUUGUUAGAGAAGAACAGCGCAUAGAGUAACUGUUAUGCGUGUGACGGUAUCUAACCAGAAAGCCACGGCUAACUACGUGCCAGCAGCCGCGGUAAUACGUAGGUGGCAAGCGUUGUCCGGAUUUAUUGGGCGUAAAGCGAGCGCAGGCGGUCAAUUAAGUCUGAUGUGAAAGCCCCCGGCUCAACCGGGGAGGGUCAUUGGAAACUGGUUGACUUGAGUGCAGAAGAGGAGAGUGGAAUUCCAUGUGUAGCGGUGAAAUGCGUAGAUAUAUGGAGGAACACCGGUGGCGAAAGCGGCUCUCUGGUCUGUAACUGACGCGGAGGCUAGAAAGCGUGGGGAGCGAACAGG
rnacentral:rRNA from 1 species